CACAAUCCUCUCUCCGUUCAUAAUGGCUCGCGAGAUCCAUCUGCAAGAGCAUCUCGGCAGAUCCACACAAUCUUCCUGCGCCGCCGCAGCCGCUCGAUUCCGUCGCUUCUUUUUCUCUCUGCAGCGGCCGUUGAGAUGAGAUUACCCCAUACCCUGUAGCGGCAGCUCGACUCCGUGCAUGCGUAGGGGGCAAUCUCACCUCAACAGCUGCUCCCAGUGAGCUUUUACCUUUACGGUGGGCCGCUUGGUGGUAACGCCCUCUCCUCCUGCUGGCGGAGAUGUUUCAUGUUUGGGCAUGUUUUCCUCUCUGGAGGGUGCUUCCUCAUCUUGCUGGAGACGAGACGAAGCAGCUGCCCAUGGAGCAGGUCUGGAGGAGGCACUUCUCCUAGGAAUAUGAGACAAACUUCAGCAUGAACUACAACCGCUUGUCCACCGUCCCUGAUAUUUCUCUGUGGACGGUACACCUAAAAUAACUUAAUAAGUUGGUAUUUGGAGUGCCAGAAAGUAAUAAUAUGAGUAGUUAUUUUUUUGAA